CCCGCUGAGUUUAAGCAUAUCAAUAAGC
rnacentral:rRNA from 2 species